rnacentral:rRNA from 1 species
GUGGGGAAUAUUGGACAAUGGGCGAAAGCCUGAUCCAGCCAUGCCGCGUGUGUGAAGAAGGUCUUCGGAUUGUAAAGCACUUUAAGUUGGGAGGAAGGGCAGUAAGUUAAUACCUUGCUGUUUUGACGUUACCGACAGAAUAAGCACCGGCUAACUUCGUGCCAGCAGCCGCGGUAAUACGAAGGGUGCAAGCGUUAAUCGGAAUUACUGGGCGUAAAGCGCGCGUAGGUGGUUUUGUAAGUUGGAGGUGAAAUCCCCGGGCUCAACCUGGGAACUGCCUCCAAAACUACUGAGAUAGAGUACGGUAGAGGGUAGUGGAAUUUCCUGUGUAGCGGUGAAAUGCGUAGAUAUAGGAAGGAACACCAGUGGCGAAGGCGACUACCUGGACUGAUACUGACACUGAGGUGCGAAAGCGUGGGGAGCAAACAGGAUUAGAAACCCGUGUAGUCC